GUGGGGAAUAUUGGGCAAUGGGCGAAAGCCUGACCCAGCAACGCCGCGUGAAGGAAGAAGGUCUUCGGAUCGUAAACUUCUAUCCUUGGUGAAGAUAAUGACGGUAGCCGAGAAGGAAGCCCCGGCUAACUACGUGCCAGCAGCCGCGGUAAUACGUAGGGGGCAAGCGUUGUCCGGAAUGAUUGGGCGUAAAGGGCGCGUAGGCGGCCUGGUAAGUCUGGAGUGAAAGUCCUGCUUUUAAGGUGGGAAUUGCUUUGGAUACUGUCGGGCUUGAGUGCAGGAGAGGUAAGUGGAAUUCCCGGUGUAGCGGUGAAAUGCGUAGAGAUCGGGAGGAACACCAGUGGCGAAGGCGACUUACUGGACUGUAACUGACGCUGAGGCGCGAAAGUGUGGGGAGCAAACAGGAUUAGAAACCCGAGUAGUCC
rnacentral:rRNA from 1 species